rnacentral:rRNA from 1 species
UUGACCUCGAAUCAGGUAGGAAUACCCGCUGAACUUAAGCAUAUCAAUAAGCGGAGGAAAAGAAACCAACCGGGAUUACCUCAGUAACGGCGAGUGAAGCGGUAACAGCUCAAAUUUGAAAUCUGGCUCCUCUGGAGUCCGAGUUGUAAUUUGUAGAAGAUGCUUUGGGUUGUGGGUUCGGCCUAAGUUCCUUGGAACAGGACGUCAUGGAGGGUGAGAAUCCCGUAUGUGGCCGAGGCCCGCGCCUAUGUAAAGCUCUUUCAACGAGUCGAGUUGUUUGGGAAUGCAGCUCAAAAUGGGUGGUAAAUUUCAUCUAAAGCUAAAUAUGGGCCAGAGACCGAUAGCGCACAAGUAGAGUGAUCGAAAGAUGAAAAGCACUUUGGAAAGAGAGUUAAACAGUACGUGAAAUUGUUGAAAGGGAAGCGCUUGCACCCAGACUUGGGCGCUGCUGAUCACCUUGCGGUCUCCGCGAGUGCACUCGACAGCGCACAGGCCAGCAUCGGUUCGGGUGGCUGGAUAAAGGCCGUAGGAACGUAGCUCCCUUCGGGGAGUGUUAUAGCCUACGGUGCCAUGCAGCCCAGCCGGACCGAGGACCGCGCCUUCGGGCUAGGAUGCUGGCGUAAUGGGUGUAAGCGACCCGUCUUGAAACACGGACCAAGGAGUCUAACAUCUAUGCGAGUGUUUGGGUGGUAAACCCAUACGCGGAAUGAAAGUGAACGUAGGUGAGAACCCCUUUGGGGCGCAUCAUCGACCGAUCCUGAUGUCUUCGGAUGGAUUUGAGUAAGAGCAUAGC